CGUUAAACUGGAAAGAAGACGAAUAUGACAGCUUGCUGUGAGAGACAACGAUCUUUUGUGGUGGAGCAGGACCUGCAAGGAAAGGUAGUCGUGCUCAUGGGGUGCAGGCACACGAAAGUUUGGAGCAGACACAGCAGUCAGAUUGUCCUGCACGUGUUCUUCUGCUCUCACUUCAA